rnacentral:misc_RNA from 1 species
UAUUUGAUGCACAUUUCAAUGGUAUUUCGAGAGUGACUUGCAACCAAUCAUGGUAUUUUUGUAAAAAUACUUUCUCAGUUCUCUUAGAAGCCUGCCAUUUUGCUUUCAUUUCCGAUUUAAGUCGCGAAAAUUUUCGAAGAAACUGUUGCGUUUGCUCGGUCGGGAUAGUAGAUCGAUUUAUAAUUUGCUUCUCGACUAAAUCCAAUUUUUUUGCAAAAUCUUUUACUUCGUAUUCUUUUGUCAUGCGAUAGAUGUAUUCCCGUGUCACAAUCUUCAAACCAGACGGGCCUAUAACAAGGAAAAGCUUAGAUAAAUAGAGUUUCUACAUACCUGACUCUACAAUAUCCAUUAUCAAAAUAAC